CAUGAAGCUGGAAUCGCUAGUAAUCGCGGAUCAGAAUGCCGCGGUGAAUACGUUCCCGGGUCUUGUACACACCGCCCGUCACACCAUGGGAGUCGGAAAUGCCCGAAGUCUGUGACCCAACCGAAAGGAGGGAGCAGCCGAAGGCAGGUCGGAUGACUGGGGUGAAGUCGUAACAAGGUAGC
rnacentral:rRNA from 1 species